CCAAGGCUAAAUACUCCUGACUGACCGAUAGUGAACCAGUACCGUGAGGGAAAGGCGAAAAGAACCCCGGCGAGGGGAGUGAAAAAGAACCUGAAACCGUGUACGUACAAGCAGUGGGAGCACGCUUAGGCAUGUGACUGCGUACCUUUUGUAUAAUGGGUCAGCGACUUAUAUUCUGUAGCAAGGUUAACCGAAUAGGGGAGCCGAAGGGAAACCGAGUCUUAACUGGGCGUUAAGUUGCAGGGUAUAGACCCGAAACCCGGUGAUCUAGCCAUGGGCAGGUUGAAGGUUGGGUAACACUAACUGGAGGACCGAACCGACUAAUGUUGAAAAAUUAGCGGAUGACUUGUGGCUGGGGGUGAAAGGCCAAUCAAACCGGGAGAUAGCUGGUUCUCCCCGAAAGCUAUUUAGGUAGCGCCUCGUGAAUUCAUCUCCGGGGGUAGAGCACUGUUUCGGCAAGGGGGUCAUCCCGACUUACCAACCCGAUGCAAACUGCGAAUACCGGAGAAUGUUAUCACGGGAGACACACGGCGGGUGCUAACGUCCGUCGUGAA
rnacentral:rRNA from 1 species